rnacentral:rRNA from 1 species
GCAUAUCAAUAAGCGGAGGAAAAGAAACUAACAAGGAUUCCCCUAGUAACGGCGAGUGAAGCGGGAGGAGCUCAAAUUUGAAAUCUGGUGGCCUCAGGUCAUCCGAGUUGUAAUCUAUAGAAGUGUUUUCCGUGCUGGCUCAUGUACAAGUCCCUUGGAACAGGGCGUCAUAGAGGGUGAGAAUCCCGUCCUUGACAUGAACUACCAGUGCUCUGUGAUACAUUUUCAACGAGUCGAGUUGUUUGGGAAUGCAGCUCAAAAUGGGUGGUAAACUCCAUCUAAAGCUAAAUAUUGGCGAGAGACCGAUAGCGAACAAGUACCGUGAGGGAAAGAUGAAAAGCACUUUGGAAAGAGAGUUAAACAGUAUGUGAAAUUGUUGAAAGGGAAACGAUUGAAGUCAGUCGUGCUCUUUGGAUUCAGCCGGUUCUGCCGGUGUACUUCCUUUGAGUGGGGUCAACAUCAGUUUUGAUCGCUGGAUAAAGGCAGGAGGAACGUAGUACCCUCGGGUAAACUUAUAGCCUCUUGUCACAUACAGUGGUUGGGACUGAGGAACGCAGCACGCCUUUAUGGCCGGGAUUCGUCCACGUACGUGCUUAGGAUGUUGACAUAAUGGCUUUAAACGACCCGUCUUGAAACACGGACC